UACGGAGGGUGCAAGCGUUAUCCGGAUUCACUGGGUUUAAAGGGUGCGUAGGCGGACAGGUAAGUCAGUGGUGAAAUCUCCGAGCUUAACUCGGAAACUGCCGUUGAUACUAUUUGUCUUGAAUAUUGUGGAGGUAAGCGGAAUAUGUCAUGUAGCGGUGAAAUGCUUAGAUAUGACAUAGAACACCAAUUGCGAAAGGCAGCUUACUACACAACAAUUGACGCUGAGGCACGAAAGCGUGGGGAUCAAACAGG
rnacentral:rRNA from 1 species